CUCACGUCCCUGUCAAUGGAGAAUCACCACCCGUCCACGCUCUUGUCCAUGGAUUCCAGCGCUUCCUCUCACGACGAAUUGGAUUUGGAGAUGAAUCGACAGAUCAUACUUUCCGGCCCCCCUGAUAUAAAUUUGCCCCUGUCAGCCGAGCGCAGCCCACCUCCACCUUCGUGGAAUUCAGACGCUUGUGAUAUUCUAGAUGUUGGCCUUGGCCCACAGGUGUAUGAGACCUGAGAGUUUGCUAACAAUGCCCAGGGUUGGACGGAAAUGCGCCAAGCGAGUAGACAGCAUAUGGGGCGCUUGGUUCUUCUUCAGUUUUUACUUCAAGCCCGCAUUGAAUGAGAAGUCAAAGGCCAAAAUCGUCCGGGACAGUAAUGGUGUUUCUGGGUUUGAGAAAUCUGAUCUCAAGCUUGAUGUUUUCAUGGUUCAGCAUGACAUGGAGAACAUGUACAUGUGGGUUUUCAAGGAGAGGCCUGAGAAUGCUUUGGGGAAGAUGCAGCUAAGGAGCUACAUGAAUGGGCAUUCCCGCCAAGGGGAGCGUCUGUUUCCAUUUAGCGUCGACAAGGGUUUUGUUCGAUCUCACAGGAUGCAGCGGAAGCAUUAUAGGGGUCUUUCAAACCCCCAGUGUGUGCAUGGGGUUGAGCUUGUUCGGUCACCUAAUCUCAUUGGUCUUGAUGAAGAAGACCGUAAACGGUGGAUGGAACUGACUGGGAGGGAUGUGAACUUCACAAUUCCUAUGGAAGCAGGGGAUUUUAGUUCUUGGAGAAACCUUCCGAAUACAGAUUUCGAGCUUGAGAGGCCACCUGCAGCAAUAAAGAGUGCGCCCAAUUCCCACUCAAGGAAACUUCUGAAUGGGUCUGGGCUCAAUUUGUCUACCCAGCCAUCUAACAACAACAAUUCUGAUGGAAUGGACCUAUCUCCUGUCAGCAAGAGGAGGAAGGAGUUUUUCCCCCACGGGAAUGAUGACGAUUGCUACCUGGCUGUUAAUCCUCCGUCCGAUCGAAUCCCAGAUACGGAAACCCACCCAAAUGAGGUGCAAUGGCCAAAUCAAUUUAGUGGUGUAAUGAAGAACGUCUACGGGCCUGUUACAGCUGCAAAAACAAUCUACGAGGAUGAUGCAGGUUAUUUAAUCAUCAUCAGCUUACCCUUUGUUGAUCUUCAAAGGGUGAAAGUUUCUUGGAGGAAUACUUUUACUCAAGGCAUCAUUAAGGUAUCUUGUAUAAGCACAUCUCGCUUGCCAUACAUCAAGAGACAUGAUCGGACUUUCAUGCUUACGGAUCCAGCCUCUGAGCAUUGUUCCCCAGGCGAGUUUGUCAGAGAAAUCCCGCUUGCCACCCGCAUUCCUGAAGACGCUAACAUAGAAGCUUAUUACGACGGGCCAGGCUCUGUGCUUGAGAUUAUGGUUCCAAAACUCCGCGCUGGGCCAGAAGAACAUGAGGUUCGUGUUUGCCUACGCCCUCACCUCGGAGGCAAUGAUCUUAUGUUGACUUAAAAUUAGGCAAUUUAUAGAGGUCUAUAAGGGUUUAUUGUCAUGCUUGGGGCAUUGUUCUACUAACUGUUGUACCAUCAAAGCGUAUUGCAUGAAGGAAACAGAAAUGUGCUGCUCACGUUUGUCUUUUCAGUUUUUGCUACUAAUUUAUGCAUCCGGUUAUGAAUUGACUCUCA